rnacentral:rRNA from 1 species
AACGUAGGAGGCAAGCGUUAUCCGGAAUUACUGGGCGUAAAGCGCGUGUAGGCGGAUGCGCAAGUCAUUUGUGAAAGCUCCUGGCUAAACUGGGAGAGGUCGAAUGAGACUGGGUAUCUGGAGUGCGGAAGAGGGGUGUGGAAUUCCGGGUGUAGUGGUGAAAUGCGUAGAUAUCCGGAGGAACACCAGUGGCGAAGGCGGCACCCUGGUCCGCAACUGACGCUAAGACGCGAAAGCAUGGGGAGCGAACGGG